UGGCAAUGAGGAUGAUAUUUUAAAAUGAAUUCCAGUGAUUUAGUUAUACGCUAUUCUGAGCCACAU